UACGGGGGGACCGAGCGUUGUCCGGAAUCAUUGGGCGUAAAGAGCGUGUAGGCGGCCACUUAAGUCCUGCGUGAAAUCCUGCGGCUCAACCGCAGGCGGUCGUGGGAAACUGGGUGGCUAGAGUGCGGGAGAGGAGAGUGGAAUUCCCGGUGUAGCGGUGAAAUGCGCAGAUAUCGAGAGGAACACCUGCGGCGAAGGCGGGUCUCUGGACAGUUCCUGACGCUGAGGCACGAAGGCCAGGGGAGCAAACGGG
rnacentral:rRNA from 1 species